rnacentral:rRNA from 1 species
UGGGGAAUAUUGGACAAUGGGCGCAAGCCUGACCCAGCAACGCCGCGUGAAGGAAGAAGGCUUUCGGGUUGUAAACUUCUUUUACCAGGGACGAAGAAAGUGACGGUACCUGGAGAAUAAGCCACGGCUAACUACGUGCCAGCAGCCGCGGUAAUACGUAGGUGGCGAGCGUUGUCCGGAUUUACUGGGUGUAAAGGGCGCGUAGGCGGGAGUGCAAGUCAGAUGUGAAAUCCAUGGGCUUAACCCAUGAACUGCAUUUGAAACUGUAUUUCUUGAGUGUCGGAGAGGUAGACGGAAUUCCUAGUGUAGCGGUGAAAUGCGUAGAUAUUAGGAGGAACACCAGUGGCGAAGGCGGCCUGCUGGACUGUAACUGACGUUGAGGCUCGAAAGCGUGGGGAGCAAACAGGAUUAGAUACCC